rnacentral:rRNA from 1 species
AGUGAACGCUGGCGGUAGGCCUAACACAUGCAAGUCGAACGGCAGCACAGUAAGAGCUUGCUCUUACGGGUGGCGAGUGGUGGACGGGUGAGGAAUACAUCGGAAUCUACUUUUUCUUGGGGGAUAACGUAGGGAAACUUACGCUAAUACCGCAUACGACCUACGGGUGAAAGCAGGGGAUCUUCGGACCUUUCGCGAUUGAAUGAGCCGAUGUCGGAUUAGCUAGUUGGCGGGGUAAAGGCCCACCAAGGAGACGAUCCGAAGCUGGUCUGAGAGGAUGAUCAGCAACCCGGGACCUGAGAAACGGUCAGAACUCUUAGGGGAGGCAGAAUAGGGGAAUAUUGGCAAUUGGGCGAAAGCUUGAUCCAGCCAUACCGGGUGGGUGAAGAAGGCCUUCGGGUUGUAAAGCCCUUUUGUUGGGAAAGAAAAGCAGCAGGUUAAUACCGCGCUGUUCGGACGGUACCAAAAGAAUAAGCACCGGCUAACUUCGU